rnacentral:rRNA from 1 species
UACGGAGGGAGCUAGCGUUGUUCGGAAAUACUGGGCGUAAAGCGCACGUAGGCGGCGCAGCAAGUCAGGGGUGAAAUCCCGGGGCCCAACCCCGGAACUGCCCUUGAAACUGCAGUGCUAGAAUCUUGGAGAGGCGAGUGGAAUUCCGAGUGUAGAGGUGAAAUUCGUAGAUAUUCGGAAGAACACCUGUGGCGAAAGCGGCCAUCUGGAUCACAAUUGACGCUGAAGUGCGAAAGCGUGGGUAGCAAACAGG